rnacentral:rRNA from 1 species
AAGCUCGUAGUUGAAUUUCGGGAUCAAUGGAUCGGUCAUGCCGUUGGUAUGUACUGGUCCUAUUGGUUCUCACCUUCUAAGGAACCUUAAUGUCAUUCAUUUGAUGUUAUGGGGAAUUAGGACUGUUACCUUGAAAAAAUUAGAGUGUUUAAAGCAGGCUAACGCUUGAAUACAUUAGCAUGGAAUAAUGAAAUAGGACAUCGCAUUCUAUUUUGUUGGUUUCUAGGAUCGAUGUAAUGAUUAAUAGGGAUAGUUGGG